CUCCGCGCUGAGUGCGCGGAGUCCUUUUCUACUGCAACAAGGGGUCUGCCCGUG
rfam:Pantoea sp. At-9b, complete genome.